AUGACCUCGGAUCAGGUAGGGAUACCCGCUGAACUUAAGCAUAUCAAUAAGCGGAGGGA
rnacentral:rRNA from 1 species